CCAGCUAGGGUAAUAAGGUAGUUCUUGAGAGUCUUCUUUGGAAUAAAAAAACAAAAGUGAAAACAAAGGGCAGAAAUGGUCACUGACCUUUCUGUGCCACAGGAGAUAUUAUCUGGAAGGACUUCAGAAGCCUUCUACGGGUAGCGGGCACCAGAGUACUAGGCACUGUGUGUGGGCUGUGUGCACGGCCCCACCUCCACUCUGCAGACUCUAGAGCCUGCCCGAGUUCAUGAACAGAAGAGGCAGGGCCAGACUUCAGUGGGUCUGCAGAAAGUUUGGCUUUGAAAACUGAAGCACUUUCCUAGUAAUGACACCUGUCACUCUUCCUUCCAGCCUCAACCUUGCCACUGGAUUUGACACCUUAUAUAUUUAAAAAAACAUCAAUGUUAAGAAAAGCACAAAAUGCCAAUAAUCCUAUAACCCUGGAAGUCAAUGGAAAACCCAGUUCCAGUGAAAAUUUCCAUAACCAGCUCUUACCACAUUCACUUUGAAUGUCCUAGUAUUGCUUUUCAUCAUUUGAACAGUACUAGGCUCCAAAGAAAUAAGUAAAAAGGCCAGCCUCUCUCUUGCCCUAACCGGUUUGGCUCAG